UUUUUAUGGAGAGUUUGAUCCUGGCUCAGGAUGAACGCUGGCGGCGUGCCUAAUACAUGCAAGUCGAGCGAACAGACGAGGAGCUUGCUCCUCUGACGUUAGCGGCGGACGGGUGAGUAACACGUGGAUAACCUACCUAUAAGACUGGGAUAACUUCGGGAAACCGGAGCUAAUACCGGAUAAUAUAUUGAACCGCAUGGUUCAAUAGUGAAAGACGGUUUUGCUGUCACUUAUAGAU
rnacentral:rRNA from 1 species